rnacentral:lncRNA from 1 species
AAGCGAGUCAAAUGACGAUAUCGAAUACGAUCAAGCGAUCAAAAGUGACCUCAAUUUUCAAGAAAAAACAAGUCACAAUUGAGUCAUUCUUUAUUAAGUCUCAUAUUUGUAUUAUUUUAUAAAUUUAGCACUCGACUAUUGGAACCGGCAAAAAUUAUUAUUAUUUACAACUAAGUCUCCUCACAUAGUCACAUAAUGAUCGGUUUGUUAGCAAGCUGUACCGCCUGUACGUAUCAGUGUAUCACUAUAAAUAUCAAGGCACCGCGAUAGUUCAACUCACACCAGCAAGCUAGCUCUCCCUUAGUUGUUUAACUAUAUCAGAGUCUCAGCUUUUAUUUGUCGAGUGCGUGCUUCCCUAGCUAUAAUGGAUCCUCAGUUGGUUUCAGCAUCUCAAGCUCAAACCCAAAAUGGCAGUAGCACUCCAGAUGUUGAACGACGUUCAGCUAAUUUUUCUCCCAGCGUUUGGGGGGAUUAUUUUCUGAAAUAUGCAUCUGUGGUAUAUGGUUAUUUUUAAAGUAAUUAAUUUGCAGCACCAUACAUGCACACAUGAGUGUCAUAAUUAUCUUACCCUCUUCAAAAUUUGCAUCCAUGUAGGAAACUGAUGAUAUUGAAGCCGACAAAAGUAUCAAAGAACUGAAGGAAGAAGUCAAGGGGGUGCUACGACUUAGUUCUCCACAGAGACUAGACUUGAUUGAUUACAUUCAGCGUUUGGGGGUAGCACACCAUUUUGAGGAUGAGAUUCACCAACUUUUGCAGCAAAUUCACAACCAGUACUCUUCUUCUUAUGAUGAUGAUGACCUUCACACUGUUGCCUUACGUUUUCGGUUGCUUAGGCAACAAGGAUUUAAGGUUUCAUGCGGUGAGAAUCAUAUUUUUCUUUUCCAACUUUUCUAUAUAUAUUUUACAUUGGAUUAUUUCCUCUUAUUUCUUCUCUUGGUUGAUGAUCCUUAAGCAGACAUGUUCAAUAAGUUCAUCGAUGUUGAUGGGAAUCUCAAGGAAUCAAGCGUCGCUGACGUACCAGGACUGCUAAGUUUGUAUGAAGCAGCACAUCUAAGGACAUAUGGAGAUGAUAUCCUAGAUCGAGCAAUGUCCUUCACCACCACUCAUCUUGAGUCUGCAGUGGCAGCACAAGGCCGUUUAAUCCCCCCACUUUCAAAUCAAGUAGCUCGAUCAUGCCUUAUAUCAACCACUCUGGAUGGGAAACCCUAGGAUAGAAGCUAGGCAUUACCUCUCUAGCUACCAGGAACUAAACAGUGCUCCACAUUUUAGCCAAAGUCUCUUGACUUUUGCGAAGUUGGAUUUCAAUCAAUUGCAGCGUAUCCAUCAGAAAGAACUAAGUGAAAUCACAAGGUCAGAGUGAUCGAUCAGCUCCCAUUACUCCAUCAAUAUAUAUACCGAAAAUUGGUGCUAAUUUAAUUAUAUGGAUCUAUGCACGUAUACUAAUAGGUAUUAUUUUCUACUUUAGCUGGUGGAAGGAGUUAGACUUUGUAAACAAACUACCUUUUGCAAGGAACCGAAUAGUAGAGGCUUACUUUUGGUCUUUGGGAGUCUGCUUUGAACCCAAGUAUCGUCUUCCGAGGGAAACAAUAUGCAAAGCUCUUGGCUUACUUACCAUGAUUGAUGACACUUUCGAUACGUAUGGCAAAUUUGAUGAACUAGAGCUCUUUGCUGAAGCUGUCGAGAGGUACUUAUAAAUUAAAACCAAUACUAGUAGCUGCAUGCCCAUUUCUUUUGUUUUUCAGUCAUAUAUUAACCUCUUUUAUUUCAUAAGAAUAUUGCGACAUGCUUGGUUGACACGCAUCUAUAUAUGUUGUUUUUGAUUAUCAAUCAGGUGGGAUCUCUCUGCCAUGGAUUCACUGCCUGACUAUAUGAAAAUUAUCUAUGAGGCAGUGCUGAAUACCUACACUGAGAUUGAAGCCGAGCUUGCCAAGGAGGGAAACUCGUAUCGCAUUGAAUAUUUAGUAGAAGGAGUAAGUCUCAUUAUCUCUCAAGAGAGCUGACUGAUAAUUUUUUGGGGGAUUUUCAUAUACACCCAAUUUUGAAGAGUGGUUUUAAAUAAAACCCACAUAAUAUUCUUUUCUGCUAUACAUCUAAAAUGUAUCAAUUAUGAUACAUAUUAUGUCCUAUUUUUUCUAAAUUUUACACAAUUGCCACCAUUCAACUAUAACAUAUAAACAUAAUAAAUAAGCUUAAUUGAUGUUUUCUUAAAUACCUUGAUUAUGAGUUUUUCUUUUAACACUAACAUUUUUCAAUCAAUUUGCAUGAAUCAUGCUGUUUUCUUUAUUUUUAUGAAAAAAUAUAGGUGAAAUGAAUACAUUCUAUGAUCUAUACAUAAGGUAAAAUAUAAUAUAAAUAAGAUAUCUGAUUAUUAGAGUAAAAAGAAGAAAUUUUAUAGUGUUACCGUAAGCCCUAAGCCCUAAACCCUAUACCCUAAACCCUAAACCCUAAACCCUAUACCCUAUACUCUAAACCUAUACCCUAACCCUAUACCCUAAACCCUAUUAACUUAACCUUAUACCCUAAACCCAAUUUUGGGUUUCUUCUUUUUAGGUAUAUUAUCAUAUCAUGUCUUACUUAAUAGGUACAUUAGAAAUGUAAAUGUUAUUUCGAUCAGGAUGAAAAAUGAUAUAAUAAUAUACCUAAAAGGAAGAAAAAUUAAUCAAAGAACAAGAACAUGUACCUUACAAUUAGACAUUUUUCGACUAUGUAGAGAGACAUCAAAUGUGAUCUUAAGAAUGAAAAGAAUCAUUCUAUUACAAAUGACAUACUUCUAUAUAUAACAUAUAUAUACACUCAAGUUAGUAAUAACAAGGUAAGAAAUUAAAGAAUGUAAUUGAUUAUGAUAAAGUUAAAUUCAACUAAAUUUUAGCUCAAUAUUUGAGUUUCAAAUUGAUGCUAAAAUUGAGAAAGAUACCAAAUUUAGCUUUAUAUUGUCUGAAGGGCAAAUCAGAGAAACUAAAAAAUGAAGAAAACUAUUAAUUAUAGACAUAUGCUCUAUAUAGUAAGUUUACUUAUGUGGAGUGGGUGUAAAAAUAAAAAAAAAAAAAUGUAUGGGUUUAUCUUAAAAGAGGUCUAGUAUUUUGGAUUUUUAUCUAAUUUUCUCUAAUUUUUUAUGGUUCAAUUUCAACAUAUUCGUUUUUCAUCUGCCUCUAUAAACUUCAGUACGUAGAGCAAUGACAGAAUGAUUAUGUAUUUUGUUCUCUGAUGAUCAGAUGCAAUGUCAAGUUAGAGCUUACUUGAAGGAAGCCAAAUGGUACCACCUAAAGUGCACACCGAAAACCUAUGAUGAAUACAUGAGGGUGGGACUUAUUACAUCCGGCAUGUUUUUGGUAGAAGCAGCAGUCAUUGUUCCAUUAGCCGGUGAAAUUUCGACAAGAGAUUCCUUGGAAUCGUUGUUCAGAGACCCUAACAACAAAAUUGUAUAUGCUUCAAACAUACUUGGGAGACUUCUGAAUGACAUCCGAAGCCACAAGGUACAAAUACAUGCAUAUAUAGUACUGAAUAAGAGUAAUAAACCUUGACCAACUUUGUUAUGGAAGUUUGUAAUUUGUUUCUGAUCGAGUAUUAUACAUAUGUGCAGCAUGAGCAAAAGAGAGGAAAUGAUUUUUCAGCUAUACAAUGCUACAUGAAAGAACACUGUGUUACAGAAGAAGAAGCGCUGAUCGAACUGAAUAAACAAGUGAAUGAUGCAUGGAAGGAUGUAAACGAAGUAUUGCUCCAGCCUCCCACAACUGUGCCCAGGCCAAUACUGUUGCUGUGUCUCAAUCUUCUACGAGUAACUGAUGUUAUAUACAAGAACGACGAUGGUUAUACUAAUGGUGGAGUUGUGCUUAAGGAUUAUAUAACUUCUCUGCUUGUCGAACGUGCUCCAAUGUAGGUUAUCAUCAAUCAACAUUCGACAUGUUAUCUUCCACGCGUUAUGACAAAUAAAGACUCGGUCUAAACCCUAAGGCUGGGUUAUUACAAAUAAAAGAUUUUAUGCUCUUUAUGGAUUAUUGUAUUUCUGCACGGGGCUUUGGUUCAUGUCCUCCCCGUUGUUUUCUCAGUCAUAAACCUCUUCUACAGUAAUAUAUUUUGCCGGUGUCAAGGUAUUAAUUUAUUUUGUUUGUGAACUUUACUUUCUUAAGAACUUGUACGUUAUGCCAAUAAAAGAUUAAAAGUAUAGAUUGAUGACAUGCAUACUUGGCCUAGUUUAGGGCAGCUCUGAGGAACUACUACCUAUCUGUGUUUGAUGAUCAGAUUCGAUGAAGCAACUUUCUCAUUGUUUGUCGAACAGUUGUUUGAGAUUCUGCUCCCGUUUGCCAAGUGAAAUCAGUGGCCGGCCAUUAUUAUUCAAAUCUUGCUUAACUAAAAUGGCAUGCAUGACAUCAUUUGAAAGCCGUAUUUUUGAAACCAAUCAUGUACGCGGUAAACUGGUAACUAAAAUUUAUCAAGGGCUCAUGGACUAAAAUUACUACUUAUUUUUUUAUUAAUUUAUGGUAAUUGUAUGCAUGUCAUACAUUAACACGUUGUAGAAUUUUUAAACAUUUUGUAUAAAGUUGUAAAUUCAUCGUAUUACUUACACACCGAGUAUCAAAGAUAUUUUAAAACAAACAAAUUGAUGACAUAUUAAUUUUCUUUGACGAAUACACUAUAUUGGUAAAAUGAUUGACAAAUACAUUAGGAUAACGUGGAUUGCAAUACUUGAGCAAACAUGAGAUGUUUGAGUUUAGGGUUUCUCUUAUAGCAUGGUACGUAGCUAUAUAUAUAAAGGCGUACCUACAUACAGGUUACGGUAGGCCAGAUUUUGAGAAAACAUUGUUUUGUUGCAUAUUUAUAAUUAAAAAAAAUUUGAAUUAUGAAAACUAGCCCACCCCAAAUUUCUUUAUGUAAUUGAACUUAGUCCAUAUGAUUUUUUUUUAUCUGAUUACAUAUAUAUUGUUUAUUUUAUUAAAAGCAGUUGCUCGUUUAGUAUAUUUUAUGUCAACUUUCUUCUCUUUAUUUCUUUUUCUUUGUCGUUGUAUACGUCUCCAUUCUCUUCUGCCGAAGCAGCUAAGCCAAGUGUUAAGUUUUUUCUCUUUAAUCUGCAGGUAUGAUUCUUAGUUAUAUUGGUUAUCCUCUUGGAGGGUCUUGUACGUGUCAUAUGACCUAGUUCUCAAAUCUCAACUGAUUAAUGUCUUGAUCAAAUUUAGUCCCAAUAUCUCAUCAUCUCAAAUCUCAAUUGAUUAAUGCUUUGAUAGUCUCAAUAUCCCAUCAUCCCAUCGCACUGUAUUUCUAUUGAUAUUCUAAUUCUAAUCUCAAUUGCUUGCUUACUAAUUCUAAGCCACGUGCCAAGCUUUCUCUCUUUAAUCUAUAAGUAUGAUUCUUAGUUAUAUCGGUCAUCCUCUUGGAGUCUUGUAUGUGUCAUAUGACCUAGUUCUCAAAUGUCAAUUGAUUAAUGCCUUGAUCAAAUUUAGUCCCAAUAUCUUAUCAUCUUAAAUCUCAAUUGAUUAAUGCCUUAAUAGUCUCAAUAUCCCGUCAUCCCGUCACACUGUAUUUGUAUUGAUAUUCUAAUUCUAAUCUUAAUUGCUUGCUUACUUUAUUAUAGAUGACUAAUGCUAAUGAUAUGUGUGUGUGUGUGUGUGUGUGUGUGUGUGUGUGUAUAGUUGUAAUAAUACCAACGUUUGAUUCAUAGUUAUGAGAUUGUGUUUUUCCGUCCUGUUAGGUUUAAAGAUUAUACACUCGUUUACUGUAUUGUUAGAGCGGUGAUUGUGUGCUUAAUUAUUAGAUUUUACUUCUAUUCAAGAGCGUAUGGUUCAAUUUGAGUAUGUAUGUUCUUUUAUCUUUAGCUUUUGUUAUUUAAUUUCUAUAAAAUGUUAUAAUAUUGAUUGCUUAAUGAUCAGUUAACUACGUGAUUAUUUGAUAUAUUUUUAAUCUAAAAUGUGAUAUGUAAAAUAUAGAAGAAAAAAAAUUAAAAAACUUUAUUUAAAAAAAAAUUUCAGCCCACCCUAACCUAAAAUCCUAGGUCCGUCAUUGCAUAUACAGAGUGCAACAAUGAGACUAGUUCAUUAGUCUGAUAUUGACUGAGAAUACUGAUCUUCUUCUCUCUCUUUAUACAUUUCCUAUCGUGACACCAAAAUGAAAUGGAUGAGCUCAUGCGCAAGAAAAUGAUCGGAGUAGUUAUCGGAAUCAAAACCAAUUUGCAUGAAUUCAUGCCUCGCUCUUACAUGGGUGAAGUUGAAUUAAUAAUCCGGGAUUAUCAAACACCAGACGCCACUACGUACUCGAGAAGGUAUGAAAAUUAUACAUGGAAAUUAAGUUUGAAAUAACAGAUGAAGCAAAACGGAAAACGGUGGAAAUGGUUGGACUUCGUUGCUUUCAUACCUUGACUUCUCGACUGAUGAUGACACCAUGGAUGAUUAUUGUAUCGAGUCGAUAUUGUCAUUUGCUCAUCAGGCGCUCUCAGCCGUAGCUAGCUCCACAAUGCAACUUAUUUCUUGUACGUAUCUACGUACGUACGGCUUGUCCUCACACAACAGUCGCUUUGUUAUCAGUGUAUCACUAUAAAUAUCGAGGCACCGUGGUAGUUUAACUCACACCAGCAAGCUAGCUCUCCCGGCCUUAGUUGUUUAACUACAUCAGAGUCUCAGCUUUCAUUUUUCGAGUGCUUCGAUUCCCCUAGCUAUAAUGGAUCCUCUGUUGGUUUCAGCAUCUCAAGCUCAAACCCAAAAUGGCAGUAGCACUGCAGAUGUUGAACGACGUUCAGCAAAUUUUUCUCCCAGCGUUUGGGGGGAAUAUUUUCUGGCAUAUGCAUCUGUGGUAGGUUAUUUUUGAAGUAAUUAGCAGCAUCAUAUGAAUGUCAUAUUUAUCUUAUUACCCCCUUCAAAAUUUUCAUCUACUGUAGGAAACUGCUGAUAUUCAAGCCGACAAACGUGUCAAAGAACUGAAGGAAGAAGUGAAGAGGGUGCUACUUAGUUCUCCGCCUUCACAGAGAUUAGACUUGAUUGAUUACAUUCAGCGCUUGGGGUUGUCACACCAUUUUGAGGAUGAGAUUCACCAAUUUUUGCAGCAAAUUCACAACCAAUACUCAUCUGCUUCUUCAGAUGAUGAUGACCUUCACACUGUUGCUCUACGUUUUCGGCUGCUUAGGCAAGAAGGAUUUAAUAAGGUUUCAUGCGGUGAGAAUCAUUCUUUUUUUCCAACUUUUCUAUAUAUUUAACAAUGGAUUAUUUCCUCUUAUUUCUUCUCUUGGUUGAUGAUCAUUAAGCAGACAUGUUCAACAAGUUCAUCGAUGUUGAUGGGAAUCUUAAGGAAUCAUGCGUCGCUGACGUACCAGGACUGCUAAGUUUGUAUGAAACAGCACAUCUAAGGAAACAUGGAGAAGAUUUCCUAGAUCGAGCAGUGUCCUUCACUACCACUCAUCUUGAGUCUGCAGUAGCAGCACCCGGCCGUUUAAGCCCCCCACUUUCAAAUCAAGUAGCUCAUGCCUUGUAUCAACCACUCUGGAAAGGAAACCCGAGGAUAGAAGCUAGGCAUUACCUCUCUAGCUACCAGGAACUCAACAGUGGUCCACAUUUUAGCCAAAGUCUCUUGACUUUUGCAAAGUUGGAUUUUAAUUUUUUCCAGCGUAUCCAUCAGAAAGAACUAAGUGAAAUCACAAGGUCAAUGAUCAGCUCCCCUUACUCGAUCAAUAUUUACAUACCGAAAAUUAGUGCUAACACAAUUAUACGGAUAUCUAUGCAUGUACUUAUAAAUUGGUAGGUAUUUUCAGGUGGUGGAAGGAGUUGGACUUUGUAAACAAACUACCGUUUGCAAGGGAUCGAAUAGUAGAGUGUUACUUUUGGUCUUUGGGAGUCUGCUUUGAGCCCAAGUAUCGUCUUCCGAGGGAAACAUUAUGCAAAAUUCUUGGCUUACUUACCAUGAUUGAUGACACUUUCGAUACGUAUGGCAAACUUGAUGAACUAGAGCUCUUUACUGAAGCUAUUCAGAGGUAUAAAACCAAUCCUAGUAGCUGCAUGACCAUUUCUUUUGUUUUUCAGUUAUAUAUUAACCUCUUUUAUUUCAUAAGAAUAUUGCGACAUGCUUGGUUGACACGCAUCUAUAUAUGUUGUUUUUGAUUAUCAAUCAGGUGGGAUCUCUCUGCCAUGGAUUCACUGCCUGACUAUAUGAAAAUUAUCUAUGAGGCAGUGCUGAAUGCCUACACUGAGAUUGAAGCCGAGCUUGCCAAGGAGGGAAACUCGUAUCGCAUUGCCUAUUUAGUAGAAGGAGUAAGUCUCAUUAUCUCUCAAGAGAGCUGACUGAUAAUUUUUUAUGGUUCAAUUUCAACACAUUCGGUUUUCAUCUGCCUCUAUAUACUUCAGUACGUAGAGCAAUGACAGAAUGAUUAUGUAUUUUUUUUCUCUGAUGAUCAGACGCAAUGUCUAGUUAGAGCUUACAUGAAGGAAGCCAAAUGGUACCACCUAAAGUGCACACCGAAAACCUAUGAUGAAUACAUGAGGGUGGGACUUAUUACAUCCGGCAUGUUUUUGGUAGAAGCAGCAGUCAUUGUUCCAUUAGCCGGUGAAAUUUCGACAAGAGAUUCCUUGGAAUCGUUGUUCAGAGACCCUAACAACAAAAUUGUAUAUGCUUCAAACAUACUUGGGAGACUUCUGAAUGACAUCCGAAGCCACAAGGUACAAAUACAGCAUAUAUAGUACUGAAUAGGAGUAAUAAACCUUGACCAACUUUGUUAUGGAAGUUUGUAAUUUGUUUCUGAGUAUUACACAUAUGUGCAGCAUGCGCAAAAGAGAGGAAAUGAUUUUUCAGCUAUACAAUGCUACAUGAAAGAACACUAUGUUACAGAAGAAGAAGCGCUGAUCGAACUGAAUAAACAAGUGAAUGACGCAUGGAAGGAUGUAAACGAAGUAUUGCUCCAGCCUCCCACGACUGUGCCCAGGCCAAUACUGUUGCUGUGUCUCAAUCUUCUACGAGUAACUGAUGUUAUAUACAAGAACGACGAUGGUUAUACUAAUGGUGGAGUUGUGCUUAAGGAUUAUAUAACUUCUCUGCUUGUCGAACCUGCUCCAAUGUAGGUUAUCAUCAAUCAACAUUCGACAUGUUAUCUUCCACGCGUUAUGACAAAUAAAGACUCGGUCUAAACCCUAAGGCUGGGUUAUUACAAAUAAAAGAUUUUAUGUUCUUUAUGGAUUAUUGUAUUUCUGCACGGGGCUUUGGUUCAUGUCCUCCCCGUUGUUUUCUCAGUCAUAAACCUCUUCUACGUACAGUAAUAUAUUUUGCCGGUGUCAAGGCUAUUAAUUUAUUUUGUUUGUGAACUUUACUUUCUUAAGAACUUGUUAUGCCAAUACAAUAUUAAAAGUAUAGAUUGAUGACAUGCAUACUUGGCCUAGUUUAGGGCAGCUCUGAGGAACUACUACCUAUCUGUGCUUGAUGAUCAGAUUCGAUGAAGCAACUUUCUCAUUGUUUGUCGAACAGUUGUUUGAGAUUCUGCUCCCCUUUGCCAAGUGAAAUCAGUGGCCGGCCAUUAUUAUUCAAAUCAUGCUUAACUAAAAUGGCAUGCAUGACAUCAUUUGAAAGCCGUAUUUUUGAAACCAAUCAUGUACGCGGUAAACUGGUAACUAAAAUUUAUCAAGGGCUCAUGGACUAAAAUUAUGACUACUUAUUUUUUUUUACCAAUUUAAGAUAAUUGUAUGCAUGUCAUACAUUAAUACGCCGUAAAAUUUUUAAAAUUUUUGUAUAAAGUUAUAAAUUCAUCGUAUUACUCACACCGAGUAUCAAAGAUAUUUUAAAACAAACAAAUUGAUGACAUAUUAAUUUUCUUUGACGAAUACACUGUAUUGGUAAAAUGAUUGACAAAUACAUUAGGAUAACUUGGAUUGCAAUACUUGAGCAAACAUGAGAUGUUUGAGUUUAAGGUUUCUCUUAUAGCAUGGUACUAGAUGAUGCCCGCGCGCUGCUGUGGUUUGCAAUGACGGAUAUUAACUACCGUAAUUGCUUUUGUUUGAAUCAAUGUUGCUGUUGUUGGACAAAAUUAUAAACACAAUAAUAUAAAAUGGAUAUUGCACAAUGACAUUGGUCACAAAAAGGAAAUGUAUAGCAUUUUUUGACUUGCAAUUCAUGAUGGUAAACAAAAUGGAAAUGUAUGACAAAAUAGAAAUACACAUGGUGAUGCUAUCGAUAUACAUAACAUAUAAAACAAUAGUACAUAGUAUUGUGUUAUAGACACCAAAAUAACUGGGCACAAAAAAUAGCUACAUCUAUUGUCUCUUUGGAUAGCAAAAUGCUUCCCACUGCCAGGCAACACCGGAUUGUAUCUGCAGUUAGAACCAACUAUGUCUAACUUGUUAGCAUCAAAAGGAUCACAUAUACAAAAACACAUGUUUCUUACUCCUGCUUUGAUUUGACCUUACAUUCGCUUCCUUGAGCUCUGGUAUAUGAACAUUUAAAUUCAGGCAAUGGAUACAAAGCUGUGAAAAGAUAAACAAAACAAAUGCAAAGCAUACCAUUGCAACAUAAACACUGAAAGAAAACAAAUGCAUGGAUAUGGAUAUAAGGGAUGCUUACUUUGAUAUCCCAUUGCUUUCUUCUCCUCUACAAAAAAUGCAUGGAUAUGGAUAUAAGGGAUGCGUACUUUGAUGUCCCAUUGCUUCCUUCUCCUCUACAAAGUGAAGAGGUAUGUGUUAGUUACUGGAUAAAUUUAGUUGUACAUGAAAAUGCCAACAAUCGUUAACAAUACAUGAAUAUCAGAAUGUAAUACAGACCAUCCCAUUUUAAUCAUACUACUGUAAUGUAAAUAGAUACUGAGAUAGAAACGAAAUGCAUAUAUAUGGAUAUAAGCAAUGCUUACUUUGACGUCCCUUUGCUUCCUUCUCCUCUGCAAAGUGAAAUGUUUUCAGUAGGGGAUCAAUUUGAAAGCUCAAGCAAAGAGAUUGAGAGAAUUCAGAGAAUCAAAGAAAAUAUCUUGCAUCUAUUAUCUUGUGUUACACAGAGGAAGAGAGAGACUUCAGCUAUUAUACCUAUAGCUAUUAGAGAGAUACAAUACAACUGUAAAAGGCUUAUAGAUAAACAGUAAAACUAGACUACGUUUUACUGUUUUACAACAAUUACUCUUAACACCCUCCCUCAAGCUGAUGGGAGAGAAGCUACCAUCAGAUUGCAUUAGCAAAGAGCCAAAGAACUGAGCAAUACAGUGACCAAAAAUAUUGGUUUCAACCCGGAUUAAUGAGCGGCAGUGACUGGCAUAGCUGCAUAGGAUAAGAGGCACGCCUACAAUUUAAUGUAGUUUGAUCCGAAGUAGAUAACAGUCGCCAAUUGCCUUGCACCGGUAAAGCUUCAAUUUCCUUAAGCACUUCUUGCUGCCAUUUAGAGAGAACUGGACUGGCAGUGCCAAUAUGCAAGGGAUGAGUUUGACUAGCAUCAAGGAUAUGAGUUGGUUGCUGAGAAGAAUAUGUAUGCCUGUAUAAGCAUUCAGCUGCACUAUGACCUGACUUCAUGCAAAUUUGACACUGCAUAUAAGAUCUAGAGGCAACAACUUGUCAAGGAGCAGAUCUUUGAGAACAUACUUGAGUAGUAUGACACUUGCUAUUGCAUAUUUGACAGGCUUCGGGAGUGUUACUAAUUCCAUUUGAGAAAUCAUUGACUUUGAGACUUCCAACCUUCUUAUUCCUUAACCCACUUGAAGUAUCAUAUAAGCUAGAAGCGCCAACAUGAGUGCUGUUGUGAAUUCUGUAGUUGUUCCACCCACUAUUCUGAUAACAAACUCUAGUUCUUCCUCUUCGGUCAAAACCCUUGCAAGCAUUAACAAUGGAGCUGAAAUACCAAGUUCGCUGACCCACUUGAGUAGAAGGAUGUGCACCAGAUUGUAAGAUAUUUCCAUUGUUAGUAAAGCUCAUUUUAUGUGAAGGGUCACAAUGUUGUUGUGGAGAAUCACUGCAUUGUUGCAAAGGCUCACCAUUUUGCAGAAUAUGACUAGUGUUUGGCUGAGAAAUUGUGCCAUUGCACAGAGCUUCACUUGUUGGAACAACACUUGAACCAAGAGGAUAAUCAAUAGAAUCAAUAUUCCCAACAAUCGAACCAGCAGAUAAAUUGGGAGUAGAUGUCACCAUAUGACCAUUAUUUGACAUAAGAGGUACCCCAAAGUUUCCAUUUUGCAUCAUGGCAUUAACAACAUAUGUAGGAUUCAUAGUAAAACCAGAUGCAACAUGGUUCAUAUUGUUAGGCAGAACAGUAUGCUGAGGUACAUAAGUAACUUGAGUGGUAAGAUGUGUCCCAAGACAUUGGUUCUCAAGAGAUGUCGUCACAGGAGUAGAAACAAGAGAAACAAGAGAACCCGAAUCCGUACCAGAAGAUUGGUUCUCAACAGAUAUAGGCACGGGAGUAGAGUUGACAAAUUGAGUAACAAGUUCUGAAGAGCUGCUGGUAAGAGCAUUGUUGUUUGAAAUAACAGCAGCAAACUCCAUUUCGGAACUAGGUAAAUAGGUAUUAUUCAAAGAAUAAGACUGAACAUUACCUCUGGAAGUAUCACCAAUUGCAGCCAUAGCUGUCUCCAAAGACAAUGAAAUAGACUUCAAAGUUUGUUCAAUCUCAUCUUCACCAAUCAACAAAAGAGACCUUUAAGUCUUUCAUUGAAACAGAGGAGCUCAGUGCUUUGAUUCUUAUAACAGUUUUUAUGGUAGCAAACUCUGAAGGCAAACCAUUAAGAACUGAGACUACAAUAUCUUCAUCAUCCAUAUAAACUCCCAUUGUAGCAAGUUGAUCACAUAUUGACUUCACUCUAAACAAGUACCUGUCAAUAGAGUCUGAGCCUUUUUUGAUGUUGUUUAAGGAGUUUUUGAGAUUCAUUAUGUUAUACCUUGAAUCAUCAACAUAUUUCUCCUUAAGCCGACACCAAAUUUUCUCAGAAAACUUGCUUCCAAUAAUGAAGGAGAGAGCAUCAUUGGACAAAGUAGCAGCAAGUAUAGACAUAAUGGCAGAGUCAUUUUGCAUCCAAUUCAUGUACUCUGUCAUAUCAGUGGCAACCUCAUUUUCUUCCAUAUUCAGGUACUCUGGAGGACAAGGGAAUGAUCUGUCGAUAUAUCUCAUCAAGCCACAACCCUUUAACAAUGUUUCUACUAAAAACUUCCAUGUGACAUAGUUAGAUUUGUCUAAGCGGAUAGGAAUGAGAUUGCAAAAAUUGGAAAGCAGACACUUGCUUAACUCAACACUGUUAUCCAUGAUGGCAGGCAACACAGAAUAAUGUCUUGACUGAGUGAAAUGCCAACACAACUCAACUAUCACCACUAUAGAACUCCAAUGAGUAACUUAUGAACAACACUGUGCUCCAGCAAUGUCUAGCUUUAUGCAAUUUCUUUCGAAAUACUACCAAUGCAUUUCAGUUCACUGGUUCCAUAAGAUCAAGUAGAUGAUAAGAAGCCAAUGACAAGGACUGCACGGUGACAAAGCUCUUCCAAAAAUAUGUAGUAUGCCUAACUUGUAACAAAUGUCUAAGCAACUUGAAGCAGCAAAUUCGAAUCUUCACUAUAGCCAAAACUUCUUGCAAACAGAGUGCUUCAAUAAUCAACAAAUCCUAUUGCAUGAAUCUAAGAAAAAGUUCAAUUGUAGCUUGUUUCACCAAUCUUUCAUCGUUCAACAACUAGAAGAAACACCAAAACAUAACAAAGAGAGAAUUUGGAGUAAAAUCCCCAAAUUCUAAGGUUUCAAUUUCUGGCAUAUAUCAACGAACUUCACACUGUUCCAAUUCAGCAACUAAAACUUGUAGAAAUCUGUAAUCGAACAGAUAUUAUGCAAAUCAAAUACUUCAAUCAAACUAUGAAUCUAGCUUUCUUCUUCUUCAAAAUUCUAGAAAACUUAUCUGGGAGAUGAAUCUUAUCUGGAGAUGAAUCGAACACCGAAGCAAGCAAGAACAACAAGUAUGAAUAUCGAUGAAGAGUGAAACUCUAGGUCGCCGGCGAAAAUCUUCGAUCCCGAUCGAACCUGGCUCUUGAUACCAUGAAAGCUCUUGAAUACCAGAAUGUAAUGAAAGAUCAUUCCAUUUAAAAGAGGAGCAUAGUUACUGUUCUCUGAUAAGUAUUCUGAGUAACACAUGCAUUGAACACACAACACAUAUAUGUAUAUAUAAUGAUAUAUAUAUAUAUGUAUAUAUUCACACAUGCAAUAUGGUAAUACCUUUUCUGCUUCUUUAUUUCAAUGUUCAAAAGCUCCUUAAGUGUUAAUUCUUUUCGGGGCUGCAUAGUUCUUUUUGCUGGAGUACUUGGCUCUGCUACUGUGUCAUGGACAGUGAAUAAAAUAGAUAUGCAUUGAUAAAGGUGAAACACCUUUACAAUGAAUUAAGGUAUGAUAUGUGAAACAUGGGAAAAAAAAAAAGUUUAAGCAGAAUGACAAAUACAAAGAGAUUUGGCAAAUGAAUUACAUGCACUUAUACAUUUCAUAAAUAAGAGUCAAAAAUACAGUGAACAUGUAAUUUUAAAAAUUUCAAAGGUGGGAAAUAGUGUUUAUUCAAGUAGCUGACAUUGGAUGCCCAAUCUGCUCUCCAUGGUGUCCACAACAAAGUUUUCUAGAAUUAUGAUCGAACCUAAAGGUCUUGCUACAGGUGGGGCAAGCUAGAUAAUACCAAUCCUCUCGAAUGAUAAAUUUUGUAAUCUUGCCUUACAAGUGAAGAUAAGACUCCUGUAGCAAGGUCAUCAGCAUAAAUUCAAAAACAUUAACUUGUAAUUCAAAACAUUUAAACCCAAACAUUAACAGCAGUUAGACAUUAAAUAAAAGUAUUAACAGGAGAUCGUCGCAACUGGUAUCAAAAUUGCUUUGGAUAAAGGAUCAAAUAAGGAAGGCCUGCAACUACCAUAUCAAUAAUAAUGAAAUAUAAAACAUGAGUGCCAGCUUGAGAAAGGAAACAUAUUGCAAUGUAUUGAUAAGUGUUAUGUUUCAUGAAAAAGUUAAUGAGCUACUUAGUUGCAUCCACACAAAAAAAAAGAUGGUUUUUUCCUUAUAUUUUGCAUAUGCUUCUUUUAUGAAAUCUGAUAACAUAAUUUUCAAGUGUUUUCAUUUUUGUUCAACCUAUUGAUAAUCAGUGUGUAAAUACUACCAUCAAGAAUGGACAACAAAUGUUUUAAAACUGAUUGAGAGAUUAUGUAGAUGAACUUGUAUAAGCCAAGCACCGGUCAACCACAGUUCAAAAAUAGGAAACAUAAAAGUACUUGUGAAUCAUAGACAACAUAUCAUAUUUAAUCAAAUUAUUUUACCUUGUCUUUCUUUCCAGCUUGCAUGUUCAAGGCACUAACAGUGAUCAUAUUCUGAUCUUGAAGAUCAGGAGCAGGUUGAUGACGUGCAGAUGAUAUUGUAAUUAUCUUUGGGGUGAGAAAAGGUUUGUUGACGCUGCAAAAGCAAACAAAAUAGCUUCAAUUGCUUUCAUAAGUUGAAACAAUAAACCUUAUGUUGUUCAACCUAUAAGAGCUUACCUUGCCCUAUAUACACAUAUUUCAGGAAUGGGUGGAUUGAUGAACGUACAUGUACUCAUCCCAGUAACGAAAUAUUGAAAGCACCAAAAACAGUUAAUAGCCAUUAUACAGUAACAACAUGUAGCAGGACAAAAUAACUCUCAUACCAAAGUGCCGGUGUUUUGUGCUUGUGAUGGCCAUCACAACUGGAGGUGUGGCAAAUUCUUAUUGUCUCAACAUCAAAUUCAGCUGCAAGUGUUCCCCACAAAGUGACUUUCAAAUUCAGCUGCAAGUGUUCCCCACGAUGUGUUGAAGGACGUGUUGCUUCCGAUGCGGGCGGAGGGUCAGGAGUACAAUGAGCCUCAAGGUUUGGCUCUCUUUGAUUGCUUUGAAAUGUGAAAGUUUGAAUCCAUUAGGAAUAUCACAUUUGUUGCCAGAUUGUGGCGCACUUCAAAUUUGAUAGGUUUCAGUUCAAAGUUUCAUGAAUAGGCACUGAUAUGUGAUGCUUAUGAAUUGGUUUUAUGAGAAGGACCACAUUGAAUUUGGUUAUGCACACCAGGUGCUUGAUGAAAUAUAUGUGAAUGAAUUUUGAUGUUUUUUCUUGAUGAGACCACAGUGGACCUUGAUGUGCUACCGAGGGCUGACAUUCUCAAGUUCUUGAGCAAGGAAUGUGAGGAAAGAGAUCCUACACGCUACAAAGAGAUGCGCAUUAAAGAUGAAACCUUAAGAAAUACAGAAUUCUGCCCAGAUUUUCAGUCAAAUUCGGCGGCAAAUUGCGAGCAGCUCAGAGCGAUCCAAGAACCUUGCCUUAUAUCAACGGAAAGCUAGAAGAGUCUAGUUUCCAGAACUUUUCACGGAUCGUUGAUAGCUAUUUUGUAGAGGAAGUUAUGGCCGUUGGAAGGAGGGAAUGUCAUUCUGCCGAAAACUGGAAAAGGAAGGAGAAAAGUCUAUCAAGCAAGUGUUCAUAUAACUGGCAAUGUAGCCGUUAAAUGUGGAUGAUGAUUUUGGAGGUUAAUUUCGCGGGAACUAGCAGUGCCCACCUGUCAGGUAAGCUUCACUUUCGACAUGAAGCUCUUAAUGUUUGAUUGAAUUUUUGCUUAUUGAUUUGUUCAUAUCUGAAAAUUUAGGAAAUAAGAGAAGCUUAGGGGAGAUUAAUUAAAAAUGAAGAUGACUUCUAUAUUCGUUCACAUGGGAAGUUUGAACAAAUUGCAAAUGAAUUAAAUGAAUCCAUUGUUUCUAUUGAUAUAUAAGGUGAAGCUCUAUGAAACAAUGUUAGAGUUGAAAUCUUAUUCGAUCUAUGAUUUACAACAAGAUUGGUGACAUUUAGCAAAUGAAGAUUUGGACAGGGUUUUAAAGAGUAUAUGUAUUUGGUGUAUAUCACACUUUAAUUAGGGUUUAUAUCCAAAAGAAAGGCAUUGUGUGUGUAUGAAAGUAUUUGUCAUAUUUUGUUUCUUGGCCAUACAUUUUAUUCCCUCUUGCUUGACAUGGAAUUUGGUUUCUGUUUUUUGUUUUUGUUUUUUUUUUUUUGUCCAGAAUUCUACAUUAUAAACUACCAAGCCUCUGAUUUGUGUGAUUGUGAUAACUUACUGCAUCACUUAUAUUGUAAUGGCAGUGGUUCUAACUUAGCUGCAAUUCGAGAGAAGUGGCCAAGAAGUACUGUCGUCCAUCAACUAGAAGCUCACAUUUUGAUAUAUGUUGUUCUAUGUUAAGUUGGUGAGGCUCAUCCCUAUUACACCCUCUACGCAUAUUUGACUCAAGUUGCUGUGAUAUAUAAUCAGUUAGUUCAGAACAAGUUUGUUGGGUUGUUCAAAACAAGCCCUGAUUUGUGUUGUUCAGAACUCACCAAAAGUUGUCCUUAGCUUCUACAAAGAUAGAAUAUGGUGCAAUUGUUGUUCUUGUAUAGAUAAUUUGGUCUACAUUUAAGAGAUCAAGAUUCUCUUUACAUACUUUUCUAUAAGAUAAAUAAGAUUGAUGUCCAGUGAUAAAUCUUUUAUAUAUGUUGCGCUAGUGUUACAUGGAUAGUUACAUAUCAAUUUUAACAGUUACAUCGGAAUGCUGCGCCAUGGUGCAGCGACACGUUGCAAAUAUCACAAAAUAGUCAUGGAAUAUAAAUGGUAGUUACAUGGGUAGUAACAUGGAUAGUUACAUAGAUGCAUAGUUACAUGGAUAGUUACAUGCAUAGUUACAUAGAUGGAUAGUUACAUGCAUAGCUUACAUAGAUAGUUACAUAGAUUAAGAGUGUAAUCUGGAAAACGUAAUAAAGAAAUAAGAGUGUAAUCUUGCUAUGUAACUACGAUGUUAUUACUCAAUUAAGAGUGUAAUCUGGAAAACAUAGUAAAGAAAUAAGACAUUUUCACCUUCAUUCAUAUGAUUUCAGUGGAUACUUGAUACAAUAACAGUAGUUUCCAGACCAAAAAAGAAAGUACAUCCUAGACUAAAGAGGUGCUAACCCCACUUUCUCUGCAUCAUAUCAAAACAACCCAGAGCUGCAUCCUAUUUGAUAUAAGCUCCUUCUUGCUGAUUUUGCCAAACCUCUCUGUUUAAGUAAAGCUGCAACAACAUGGCUGACAAGUACAAUGAGAUUUGUAAAUAAGUUAUAGCAUCAUGAUGACAAGUUGCUGAAGAAGUUCCAUAUGUGUGCGUAACUACAUAAGCUUCAUUGUCAAAGCCUUCUUCUGGAGUGAACCAAGCUUUAUGGAAUGAACCUAGUUCAGAAUACCAUAAAAAUCAAAUCCUUCUGUUCUUCAGUCACUACCAGAAGAAAGGCUUUAGCCGACGAAAAUAAAAAAACCAGGCAGACGAAUUAUUUUUUCGUCGGUUAACGUGGACUUUAGCCGACGAAAUUUUCCUUCGUUGGCUUAUUUAAAUUUUCGUCGGCUAAAGAAAUUUUUUCAUCGGCUUUAGUCUGUGAACUUUAGCCGACGUCUAUAUAAAAGUUUAGCCGACGAAUACCCUAAUAUUUCGUCGGCUAAACCCUAAACCCUAAACCCUAAACCUUAGCCGACGAAUACCCUAAUAUACGACUUGUUGCGUCUCAUCGAUUUGAAACUAUUUUCAGUUGAAGGUCCAGCCAAAAUACGUAAUUUAGACGGUCCAAUGACCUUUUCCGUGCGUUUAGGGGUUUGACUUAAGGGAUUGACCGUCCGGAUCGAGCCCUUAACCUUGUCGGAUCAAGUUGAAUUUUUUCCCAUAUAUGUAUUUUAUCAUGAUGGUCAGAUCUGAUGGUCGGAUUUUCGUUUCUCAAGUUUGAUCAUCACAAUCACAAUUUGACAUCAGAAUUAAACAAACACUCUUCAAAACAAAUUGAAGGACGAUCCCGUAACUUCCCUCAAAUACAUAGAGUCCGAAACCCUAACUUCCCCUCUGCCAUGUCACCGAUCCGCGUGACUCCUAUCAACUCAUUUUCCACCUUCAGAUUGCACACAUAACCGCCGUCCCUGACCGUCGGAUCGCACUCCGGAGGUCAUCCUCCUCCUUUAGAAAACCCACCUUUUAAAUUCUUGCUCUCUUUCAUUUCCUUCUCUGCAUCUCACUCUCUCCCAGACUCAAGUCUUCGUUUACAAAGAGAGCUCUCAUGGCCACCACUAAGUCCUCCAACGACGCACCGGCACCGGCGAAUCCAGCUCCACCGGCAAAUCCAGCUCCUUUUGGCGCAGCACCUCGAGAAGAUUAAGCAGAGCAGUGAGCUCGCUUUUGUGAAGAACAACUACAUGAAGCCUGACCCCAACGCGCCGCCUAAGCACGGCCGUGGCCGUCCUCCCAAGCCGAAGGUCCCGAGGGCUGAAGGAGCUGCUGCCAUGGUUUCCUCGCCUCUGAGGCCACAUGGCAGGCCUCCCAAGGCUAAGGAUCUGUUUUUCCCGACUCCGAUUGUCCAGAGCUCGACCUCGGGAGGAGGGUCAGGCAGGCCACGUGGCCGUCCUUUGAAGAAGGCCAAGACUGCUCCGGCUAACGCUCCUGCUGCUCUGACGAGUGGUGGUGGUAGUGGUGCUCCUAGAGGGAGAGGCAGGCCACCGAAAGUGAAGCCCUCCGUGGCUCCGGUGGGUUGCUGAGCUCACACUGAGAGUGAAAGUCGUUUAUGUUUUUUUUUCCUUUUUUAAUUUGGGUUAAUUUUAGGGUGCGUUGGAAUUUAGUGUUGGGCUAAUUGAUGGUCUAGCUUUCAUUAUCGCAGUGUUUGUUUAAUUUUCAUGUGUUGUGAGUGGUGUUGGCUUCUGUAUUUUGCAGGUUGCUUGGAAUGGUAAUUUAGAAAUAUCGGGUUUUUUUUUUACUGUAAUGGACUUAUAGCCGACAAAACAUUUAAGAUAUUCGUCGGCUAUAGUAUUUUAAUUUUUUUAUAAGGUUCAGCCGACGAAUUAUGGUAUGUUUCGUCGGCAAUAGUUAUUUUUUUAAUUUUUAAUUCGUCGGCUAUAGUUAUUUUUUAAUUUUUAUUAUAUACUUUAGCCGACGAAUAUCUUAAAUGUUUCGUCGGCUAAAGUCUUAUCUCAGACUAUGGUCGACGAAAUAUUUAAGAUAUUCGUCGGCUAAAUUCUGGGACAAUAGCCGACGACGUCUUCUAGUUUCGUCGGCUAAAGUAAUCGCUGACGACUUUUUCCCGACGAAACCAUAGCCGACGAAUUAAGCUAACAGGCCAACGAAACUUUUUCUUCGUCGGCUAAAGUGCUUGUCCUGGUAGUGAGUUUAAUGGGGUGAACCCAGCUUCAUAAUGCCAUCAGAAUCAAAGUAAAGCUGGAAACCAUCAAAAAAUGAAACUGAUCAGCAAGCUUACAAAUGCAUUGAUCAUUAUCACUAAGCAAGAUUAUAGAGAUAUAAUGCUUCUAUAAGCAAGAAUUACAAAUGCAAAUUACUUAAAGCAUUAAGAAACUCACAAGCCCAUGGUGAGUCUUGUAUCAAUGCCACUCUCUAUCUAGAAAGAAAAACAGUACCUUGGAGAACUUUUUAUCACGAUCAUAAUCAAGUCCAGGAGGGGCAUUCUGUAUGGUGGCUAGGGCUAACUAAGAUUAGACCAAGAUCGGAUUAUUUACAACUAACUGAGAUUAAACCAAGAUCGGAUUAUUUCCAACUAUUGAGAUUUAGCACUUCCAAUAGGGAAAUCAAUUUCACAUAGAUCAAAGAAUACAAAACCAAAUUCAUCAACAUGCUAAUAUGGUCCAAAACAGAUCGUAGUAUUCAUGCAACUAACUGAGAAUAUAAUUGCAUCUACAACUAUUCAAAAGAACAAAUCAUAUAACAUGGCAUAUGAGAUAAUAAGAUCGGUGUCCAAUUGAACAAAUGUCAGAUGGGAGAAUACUACGCCUUGUGCCUGAAAGAGAUGGAAGACUAGAGCUCAAGCAAUUUGAUCUUCACAAAUCUGUGUGAGGUGUGCUGAAGAACAUAAACAAGAAUAAUAUAGACUUAAAGAGAGAAAGUGAAUAUAUGUACAUGAUAAGACGUAUUUGCACACGCAUCAAUUAACCCUGUCAACAAAUCAAUCGUAGUAUAAAGCAAGCAGGGAUCGUUCUAAACCGGGGAUCCAACUACAGGGUAGAUCCAUCUAACCUAAUAUAAAUGUCGAAAUAAGCAUAUAGGGUUUAAAGGUUUGAUGAUUUCGAAAUAGACAUUGGAAAUAAAUCCUAAAUUACCUCUAUACAUAUUUACAUGUGAUCAACCAACAAUCAUGCAAACACAACCAAACAACCAUGCAAGAACAAAGAAGACGAUCUCUAAUCUCAUUUAAGUCCACAUCGUGAGCAAAUACACAACCUAAAUUUGAUAUGCACAUAAGUUCCUACGUGGUUCCUAUGACAUAGACAUACUUAGAAUUAGACUACGGGUUUCAUUCAACAUCGUGACACAAACAAGCACGGCUACGUGCUCUACUUAUAGGUCACACACAUAAACUAAUCAUGCAAUUACGUAUCACAUAAAGAAUCGAUGUGUUUAAGCACAAGUCCAAAUCAAACAUAGGUAGAAAAUCGGUGAAAUAACAAAAACAAUGCGACUUAUCAACUUCUUGUAUCAAAGUCGAACUUUGGAUGAUUAACACAUGCAAUAUCAACUACUUGUAUCAAUUACACAUGAAAAUAGAAGAAUGCACCGAAAAUCUUAAAGUAUAUAGACAUAAAACUCACGGCAUAAAACUUAAAAUCAUUGAUUAUAAAUUGUAAACUUUAAUUCAAAACAUGGCUCAAAAGUACCUCUAUCUCAUAGACAAGAAUCGAAACAUACUUAAGCAAAAACCUAAAACAAACAUAAACAAGAACAAACACAUUAUAAUCCGAAAGUAAAAGAUGACGCGGCUCGUUACCGGGCGCGUAAUUUAAAAACCCUUUUUUAUCAGAAUGUAGUAUUGGCAAAUAGGGUUCGAUCAAUCCGGGGACCUAAAGGGCGCUCCUGCAGUCAUGGUUACACUAAAGAAUUAGUAACAGAAAGUAAUUACAAGUAUUCAGUUACAAAUAUACACAUGGUACAAUAGAUAAAAAGGGGGGGUUUGAAGGUUUGUUUACUAAAUUCCUACGAAAACAGUAGGGAAAAGAAAUAAACUACUAUUUACAAGUGAUCGACUUCCACACUUUCGAAACCAGAUUCCAGAAAACAUAAUCGUAAUCUAAUGAACUUUAAUCACACAAUUGAGUUAUCACCAAAGAGAAACACAGAAGGGUUCUAAAUACAAGCCUACGAGGUCAUGCAUUUAAUCGGUUCUUCUAAAUAGUCAUCCAAGCUAAAACGUCUGAACUUAGAACAUUUUACAUGCUGCUGCUAUCAAUACUGUAAGUAUCUGUCUACAAACAUGCAAAUCAUUAAGUAAAAGAACGAACCCUAACAUGCAAAGAGUUUACGUACGACGCUUAACCAUUCACAUGCAAAACAUGUUCCUAACCAUACAGGAUAUGGCCUCCACUACUGGUGAUCUAUACUUACCAACGAGGCUUAGCACAGAUCAUAGCAUUAGUUAGCAUGCAUUCUAACGUAGGUAAAUCAAACACAAACAUGCUUCCAACGAAUUUCUAAGGCAACUGACUCAAUCGCAUAAUAUCAUUAGAACAAUGAAAUCAUAACUAUUAUUAUCUGAAAAUCACUUAGUUCUCAACAAAGAUUCCAUCCAAUUCGGAAAAUAAAACACAUGGUUCUUAAAUGAAACCUAAAAACAAAAGAAGAUGGCCAGAAAGUACUAGACAUAGAUUUACACUUUUCAAUGGACUGAUUGGCCGAUCAAGAACUUGAGGUCGUGCAAGGCUGUGCUAGGGCUUUAGUACUCCCUAGAACGUCCGAGGCAGCAAGGGCUUCUCUUCUUCUUCUUCUAGGGACUCACGGCAAUGAGAGAAACUAAGAGAACGUUUCUGAAUUUCUAAAGCGUAGGAAGUGAUGCUGAAAACGUUCCUCUCUGCUCCUUUAUAUAGUGGUCAUGUCGACAUAGGGUUUUACUCCACACCAUUGAUUAAAAUCUGAUCCAAGGGCCAUAAAUAAUAGCACAAUAUUUUCAGAGAAUAUUCCUUAGAAUUCUCUAGAAUAUCUUGCACAUUAAGAGUUUGAAUCCGGCUGGAAUUGUGGUUGAAUACAUUGCUUGUUUUCCAAAUUGAAAUCGGCUUGAAUCUCUCCUUGUUAAUUACCGAUUUGCUGCUGAUAAUUCUUCCCAUAUUUGUGCCAUUUAAUGUCCCUAGAAAAGGAAUAUAAAUCAGAUAUAAACUCUAGGAAUAUUAGGAAUUUAUAUGGAGAAAUAAAAGGUAAGAAUUUCCCUUAAUUUCCUUGAUGUUUGCUGCAUUAGCUCCAUAUAAAUUCGGCUGGAAACCCUAAAAAGAUGGUGCCAUUCUCCUCCUUUUAUGUGACAGAAUUUCGGCCUAAUCCAUGUAGGAUUUGGUUUCCUUGCUUCAUGUGGAAUCCCUGUCUCAAGAGGAAAGAAAGUUUCCAAAAGAAUUCAGGAAAGUCAAAAUAGGAAAGAUUCAAAGUUAGUAAGUUUCCCCAAUCAAAAUAGGAAAGUUUCCCAAAAUGAAAUAGGAAAGUUUCUCCUUAUCAAAACAGGAAAAUUUCCUAAACGACUUAUCCUUCUUAAUCCGCCGGUUUUAACUUCCUUUUUCACUUUUCCGCUCUUUUAUCUUUACAAUCAUAAAACAUGUUUAAAAUGACAAUGUUCAGAGAAUAACAUAACUAAAUAAGGUAGGAAAUACGUUAAUAUCGUAGCACUUUGUGCUCCUAUCAAAAGAUGAAAUACACUCUCAGAAUAUCCCUACUUGUUCUAUUCUUCGAGUGAGCGGAACCCUAGGCUACUUGCUUUGGAUCAAGGAUGAUGGUGGGUUUGGAUUAUGGUGUUUGGAGAAUGAUGAAGUUUUGGCAAAGCUUUGGUGUUAUUUUGCACGGGUUGAUGAUAAUUAAUUGCUGCCAUACUGUGCCCUAUUUAUAGAGUAACAAGACUUGAUCUCCAAGAAUUCCUCAAGCACAAGGAAUCCUAUUGAAUCGGCAAAACCAAGUCCAAGUUGGAUUUAACUUCCUCUCUUGUUCUUCAAGUAAUCCUCAUGCAUUAAGGAAUGACAAAACCAUCUUGAACUUGGAAAACCUUCUCUUAGGCCGCACGGUUUCUCUCUCCUUGGUGACUUGGGAAAUCUUCACGGCAUCUCCAUACAUAUCUCGGAUUGUACUUCUCCUAGCUCAAGCAGGAACUCCUAGCUGCUGGCCACAUUUCCCUCAUAAGUCAGGAAAACAUUUCCUAAUCAACACGGGUUUAGACUUUCCUGAAAUAGAAAUAAGAAAAUUAGAAACUAGGAAAGAGGAAAGAUGGAAUCCUGAUCAAGACAGGAAUCCUGAGUAAACAAGGAUUUCCAACACUUAGCACAAUUUCAACACCAAAUUAUUCAAAUCCGAAAAUUCUAUGAAUUCUAAUACUAAAACACAAAUAUAAAGCUAAAACAACUAAAUAGGAGUUAACAAAGGGUAAAUAAAGGGUAUAAACAUAUUAAGAACGUCACACUUUGUGCUCCUAUCAGUACGCUUUCGCUUUGUGCCUGUUAUUCCACCUCAUAGAGAAGGAGAUGGGAGAACCAGGGCUCAAACAAUUUGAUCUUCACAAAUUUGUGUGAGGUGUGCUGAAGAACAUAAACAAGAACAAUACAUACUUACAAAGAGAAAGUGAAUAUAAUAUAUGUAAGCUUUGUGCCUGUUGUUCCAUCUCAUAAUCAUGUUUGUGUUGUCUUAAGCUGCAAUUGUGGCCAACUCAAACAAUUAUACCAUAAACCCGUCAAAAAAUUUGGGGAAAAUCUAUAUAAAAAAAAACCCUAAAAUCCAGAGGAAAAUGGUGAGUGAGUACAUACCUUCUUCGGAUCUCCGAGUCGGGUCCAUGUUCUUAAACUCCUUGUGGAUUCAAGACUAGAGCGCGCCUUCAUCGGAUCUAUCGUCAACAUCCAGUCCAUUUUAUCGGAUCCAUCGAAUUCUAGCGUCGGAACGUUAUCGAUUUCGACCAAUUCUUCGACAACAACCAGAUCUGAUUCUUCGACAACUCCGAGCCCAAUCCCGUCCUUCUUCUUCACCGCCAACAACUUGGCCAGGAUGAAGAUUAUGGUCCUCACGUCUGGUAGGCAGGAGAGAGAGAGAGAGAGAGAGAGAGAGAGAGAGAGAGAGAGAGAGAGAGUAGAAGUGCAUAGAUCCUGUAAUGUGAAGUAGAUGGAGAUAGGAUAUUAGAGGAGUAAUUUUAUUACUGAAGAGUGUUUCAAGCACUAUUAUUUCACAGUCUUACAGCAACCAAAGCAGCCUAGACUCAACAGCCCUAACCGUGCUCAAGAGUCCUAGCUACAUAUAUAGUUCACAAAAUGAUACAAACAAGUUUAUUUUAAAUACAUACCACAACCACAGAUGGUUUUAGUUCUUAGGGAAGUAGCUCCACUACACAACUCAUAAGUAGUAGCAUAACAGGUCUGGGAUGGUUUGUCACAAUGAAACAGCAGAUGACAACUAGAUAUCAAUCGGUGCAGCAGCGAAACAUGAAGAACUUCUCCAUCUCACGACCACACUCGGUACACACCACUUUGUCCGGAAUGUCUGGACCGAACCCAGGAAUGAUCAAACGAGUACAAUGAUGUGGCUCGUGAAGCUGUUUGAGCUGGUUUUUGAGUUCAGGCAAAAAGCCUAACUCAGCAGCUGCAGGUUUCCAGGCCUCAAAGUCGUCAAGCGUGAUAGUAGUCAGGUGUCCAUUAGCUCUAACAGUAUCAGCUGAGCCCAACCACAACAUAACCCAACCAUGGUCACUUCCAUCAUAGCUAAAUAAACUCAUGACCUCUCUCAGUAUAGUAUCAUCGUCUAUAGUCUUGUGGUGCUUAGCCUUUGAGCACCUCAUGCUGUCAAGUCGAGACCAAAAGAACCAGGUGGAUGUGUAAUCAGACCAGUUGCGACUGAGAUUCUCAGCAUCAAUAAUUCUGUUAAGUUUCCAGAGUUUCUCUUUUGAGGCGGUGCUUCUUCCUGCAUAAACCAAUUCCAAGGGAAUACCUGUACGUUUUGCCAUUGUUUGUCAAACAGUUGGUUCGACUGUUCGAACUAAGACUUCUAGCGAUGAAGCCGAUAAUGUCAAGAGUUUAUCCGAUGUGCAAGGUGAAUGGCGUGCAAUUUAUAUGUGAACAGAGAGAUAGCAGACGGAGAACACAGAAUUCUGGGGUGAUGGCGCAUGGCGGGCGGAAUGGAGUUGACUAUUACGGUGUUCUUGAUUCAGUGGUGGAACUCGUUUACGGUGAAAGCAUGACAGUGCACCUCUUCAAGUGUAGAUGGUUUGAUACUAGCCCGCAGAGCAUGAAGACCGAUCAGUACGGAAUAUUAUCGGUGAACACUGCUACAAGUUCUUACGAAGAUGACCCGUUCGUUUUUGCCACAUCGGUAAAACAAGUGUUUUAUCUUGAUGACCUUGCUAAGGGUGACGCGUGGAAAGUAGUCAACCUUGUGCACCCUCGAAACAUUUACCGGGCGGCUACACUUGGAGAGGCCGAAGACCAGGAAGAAGAUGUUGCGUAUCAAGAGCCCAACGCAAUAGGUAUUCCUAACUCCUCUACCGUUCGCCUUAAUAAUUUUAAAGCGGGUCGUUCGGUGCGAAUUCGUGAUGAAGAGCCAAGGCUUAUUGAUGUUGAUCCAAAUCAAGAAACAGACGAAGACUCUGGCGAUGAGGAAAUACAUUGAUUACCAGAAAUUAAUUCUGACACCGAAGAAGACUCAUCGGAUGAUUCCGAUUACGAGCCUUAGUUUUAAUUUAGAAGACGUAAUACAUUAAUUUGUAAUAAAAAAGAUUGUAUUACCUUAUACGACUUGUUGUGUCUCAUCGAUUUGAAAAUAUUUUUAGUUGAAGGUCUGGCCAAAAUACGAAAUUUAGUCGGUCCAACGACCUUUUCCGUGCAUUUAGGGGUUUGACUUACGGGAUUGACCGUCCGGAUCGAGCAGUUAACCUUGUCAGAUCAAGUUGAAUUUUUUCCCAUACAUGUAUCUUAUCAUGAUGGUCAGAUCUGACCGUCGGAUUUCAUUUUCUCAAGUUUGAUCAUCACAAUCACAACAUGCCUACUAAUGUUGUAUAACUUGUUUACCGAGUGUUAAGUAAAUGUUCCGUUUCAAAAACAAACUAUACAUAGAACCUUCAAACGUAAAAAAGUCAUGAAAUAAGACAUGACCAGAAUGGUGAAAUACGUCUACGGUUGAAAAAUCACGGUAUUCUGGUAAAGUAUCGGUGCCGAUAGUUGCGGUCAAUGCAAUUUUCCAUUCUUUCUCCCUAUGGGUAGCCCUAUCUUCGGUGGUUAUUUUGCGUAAAAUUUUUAUAGGACUUGUUGCGUCUCAUCGGUUUGAAACUAUUUUCAGUUGAAGGUCCAGCCAAAAUACGUAAUUUAGACAGUCCAAUGACAUUUUCCGUGCGUUUAGGGGUUUGACUUAACGGAUUGACCGUUCGGAUCGAGCCCUUAACCUUAUCGGAUCAAGUUGAAUUUUUUCCCAUACAUGUAUUUUAUCAUGGUGGUCAGAUCUGACGGUCGGAUUUUCGUUCUCAAGUUUGAUCAUCACAAUCACAAUCACAGUUUGACGAAUGGUUAAUUGUUUUAAAGCAGACGAAUUUCAAAGGUUUAGCCGACGAAUUUAUUGUUUAGCCGACGAAUUUCAAAGGUUUAGCCUCCUCCUCCUCCCUCUCCCUCUCCGGCCUCCUCCUCCGGCCCUAGCCUCCUUCUCCUCCUCCUGCUCCGGCCGGCCGGCCUCCUGCUGCUCCGGCCUCCUCCUGCUGCUGCUCCGGUCCUCCCUCCUCCUCCUCGAGUACAUUUCUAAACUUUAGUUAUAUUUUGUGUUUGCUUUUAUUUUUCGGUCAAUUGCAAUGUUGUGGUGUUGUUAGGAAGUGUAUAUUUGUAUUUAGGAAGUGUAUAUUGUUAUUUAAUAAGUGUAUAUUUGUAUUUAGUAUUUAGGAAAUGUAUAUAUUUGUUUUGUAUUUUGUGUUUGGUUUGAUUUUCCGGUUAAUUGCAAUGUUGUGGUGUUGUUAGGAAGUGUAUAUUUUUAUUUAUGAAGUAUAUAUUUAGGAAGUGUAUGUGUAAAUUUUAGGAAGUGAAAAUGUAUUUAGGAAGUGUAUAUAUUUUUUACAUUUUUUAAAUGAGUUUGCAUUUUUUGAUUUUGUGGCCUUGAUUCAAAUUUAUAUUUUAAAUAGGAUGAGCGGUAAUAUUGGAUCGACGAAGGGUUCGAAGGGCCAAAAGUCCGUAUCGUCUGAGGGAACCUCUAGCAACCCUCAGACAUCGUUUCAGGGUCUCAUGACAGCUAGACAUGAGAGCCUUCUGCAGACGGCGCAGAGGUAGCCGGAGAUGGGCCCUUCAUCAAGGCAGCGGGGCGUCCCUCAUAUCUCGAGGCAGUUGUUUACUCAGACCCAGACGGAGGUGUCUGCACCCCGUAUGCCUGAGAUACACCGGGCGCCCACUCCAGGUCCUACUUCUUCGGAUAGUGGGUCAUCUGGGGUACAGAUGCCGCCGCCUCAUCUAUAUCUUCCGCGGAUGAUACCGGCCAUACCUGUAGUCGAUGACUCAGGGACGCCGAUUUAUCCACUGCCCCCGCCAGUGGCUCCAUCAGCGGCGUACUGGUUCGUGCCUUUUGAUACGCCUCUUAUUUCCGCGAGGGUAUCAUCAUCGGAGACGGAAUCCGUCGCGUCCGCCUCCUCGCCCUUAGGUAAUGAAAGAUGAAUGAUUUGUUUUCUUAUAAUUCUUCGAUUUUAAUAAUCAAUUUGGUUUAUCAUGUGAUAGGCACCGUCGGAGCGAAGCCGACAAAAAAGAAGAGAGGCCCCGUCACAGGGAAGGCUCUCGAGAAGAUCGUCGGUACCUCAGGGAGGAUUGUCAUCGGUACUGAUGGGGAUGGCGACGUAGUAUCGGGCGGGAAGUCGAGGACGUACUCCGGCCGUGUGGGAGCGCUCAUUAGGGAUAGAGUCCCCAUGUUGUGGUCAGACUGGGGCGAGGUCCCGCAAGAGGUUAAGGACAUUGUCCACAACGCGAUGUCGGUGAGUUUACAAAAUGCCUUAAUAAUAUUAUGUAUUAUAGUUUAGAUUUCUCGAAAAACUAAACUAAUAAACGGUUAAAUGCAGGUGUGGUUUGAGGUUCCCGAGCCCUUGAAGAGCAGCUGGGCGGACAUUGUGCAUGGGGGAAGGUACAUUGGGAUUAAUGAAAAAACAAAAUUGUAUGUCAUAUUAAUAAUAUUUCUAAUAUUUUUGUUGUAUAUGUAGGUACAAGGAGUGGAAGAACGAGUUGCGAACCCAUUGGACUACGCACGGGAACGCACGUUCUGCUACCCCUGCUGAGUUCCAGUACAGAGAGUAUGAGUGGCGUUGGCUUCUGACAUCAGAAUUCAACAACCCUCGUAAACAGGUAUUUAAAUAAAUUAAUUAGUGAAUUUGUCAUUAAGCACGUGCGUUUUUAAAUAUUUUACUAAUAGUUUUGUUUUUUCUUUGAAGGCGGUUUCCCGGGCGAACGCUCAGAACCGGCAACGCAACACAAGGAACCAUCAUGCCGGUUCUAGACCGUUCGCUGUCUUCAUGGACAAGGCGGCCAGGGAACAUCCAGAGGUCAACCAGUACGUCUAUACGUACGAGAAGGCAUAUCCUGACUCCCAGGAGGAUAUAGUAAGUAAUCUUUCCUUUUUACAAAAUUUUUAAUUUUACUUAUAUAUAUGUCAAAAUGUUAAUUAAUAAUUUUUUUUCUAUCCAAUUAGGCAAAGGUGAUGGAGGCUAGUGACGAGGUGAUGAGUGCUAUAGUGAGGGAGACAUGGCCGGACACGCAAGAGGAAGAGAUGUCCGAAGCCAUUUCCCGGAUCGACACUUCAGAUCCGAGGGUUGGGGCGAGGAUCAUGGGCACAGCCUUCCCACCGCGAGAAAACAACUUCUACUGCCGGGGUCUAGGAAAGAAGGGUCAGGGGGUCUUGAAGACCACUCCAGGAUUUUAACGAAAGGCAGCCUCGACCAGCAGCAGGACGACUCAGCUAGAGUCGGACGUUGAGAGACUACGGGAACAGCAAGCCUCUCAGGCUGCUGCUCAGGCUGACGCUCAUGCUGCUCAGGCUGCCGCUCAUGCCGCCCAGAUCGCCGAAUAUAGAGCCUAUGCUAGAGCCCUACAUGCCGCCCAGCAGGCCCAGCAUCAGCAGAUGUUCUAGUACUUCUAGGAUUUUACAGCUGCCCAGCUUCAGGGACUUCCACCUCCGCCCAUGCUUGCGCCUAUACAGUUACCUCUACCGCCGCAAUCUCCUCACCAGCAGGCCCCAGAAUCGGAUCUUGAUUUAGACCAUUUAGAUUUUGUGUAGUUGAUACCUUAUAUAGUUUUAUAUGCUUCUUGUUGGUUAUAUAUAUGGAAUUGUUUUGGUGUAUUUUGCAGCUUGCUUGGAAUGGUAAUUUAGAAAUUUCGAGUAUUUUUUUUUACUGGAAUGAAGUUAUAGCCGACGAAACAUGCCACAAUUCGUCGGCUAUAGUUUUUUAAUUUUUUUUCCAUAGGGUUUAGCCUACGAAUUAUGGCAUGUUUCGUCGGCUAAACCCCACUAAAGCCAACGAAACAGACUCUAUUUCGUCGGCUAUAGUUUUUUUGAAUUUUUUCAUUAAAUACUUUAGCCGACGAAUUCUGUCGGCUAAAGUCUGGAACAAUAGCCGACGAAUAUUUCUGUUUCGUCGGCUUAAGUUUGGGAGUAUAGCCGACGACGUCGUAUUUCGUUGGCUAAAGUCUGGAACAAUAGCCGACGAAAUAUAGUGUCUGUUUCGUCGGCUUAAAUGCAUGAAUAAAAGCCGACGACAAAAUAGUUCGUCGGCUAAAGUCUGGACAAUAGCCGAUGACAGUCUCUAGGUUCGUCGGCUAAAGCCAUCACCGACGAGCCUUUCCCGACGACACUAUAGCUGACGAAUUUGGAUAACAAGCCGACGAAAAUUUUUCGUCGGCUAAAGUGCUUGUCCUGGUAGUGAACCUAACUCUGGGCUCAUUAUGCUGGGAGACUUUCUCCCGUUACAUUAGGAGACGUAAUUGAAGAGGGACCCAUGGAUCCCAGCUUAACCAUAUUUAAGGUAUUGGGUUUUAAUCACAAAAGACAUCAGUACAAUUAAGUGUGAUCCAUCCACUUAUAAGUUGUAUUUUAUUUAUCUCUUUUCUGAUGUGGCAUGGGAUCUUUCCUCUCCAACAGAGAAGUUUAUCAAUAACUGUUAAUCUUGGUUUGGUAGAAAAUGAAAGAUGAGAUCAUUUGUUUUCAUGAUCUCAUAAGCAGCAUCUGCAGAUGAAACUAUGAUCACAUGUCGGGAACCAAAAUGAAGCAUCAUGAGUUCACCAUGGUACUUGAUGUAUCCAUUAUAUGCUAUGUUUUUAUACCUUUAAAUCUCGGAUUUGUAUUAUACUUUCUGUCACAUCCUGGUUCUUAAAUUAUUUUUAUCGUUGGGUUACUUUGAUCUUUUACUGUUUUGAGUAACCGUUUACUAUUUAAGGACCCUAGAGUUGACUUUUCGUAAGAAAAUUAUUUUGGAAGAAUUUUUAAAGGACGUCGAUCGUAGAAGACGUUAAUACGAAUAUCCGUAGACAUGCUAUACGUUAAAAUCGGAGUUGGUAUGAAAAAGAUAUGGUGUAAAGACUAAAGUUACUAUUUUUGGUCAGUGGUAUAAAAUGGUCCAAAGGUGGAAAGUCAAAAAAGUAAAAAAUCAGAACUCACCUUCUCUCUCUCUCUCCUCCUUCUUGUGUCUCUCUCCCACAACAGAUUCUUCAUCGCCGUUCGCUACCGUCCGACCGAGUUGGGCGGCAAGGUUGGUAUCAAAUCGAAGCUUGGACAUCCCUUUUCAUGUUUAGGUAGGUUGUUGGCCGUGUCGUGUUGCCUUGAGGGAGAAAUCAUGCCGAGAAGACGAGGCUGUGCGUGGUGGAGUUCAGCUUGAAACUCCCUCCUUCGGCCACCAUCGUCAGAGAUCCUUGUAUUAACUUGAAGCUCUCCUUUCAGGUAGCAAACCCUCAAAAGGAUUCGAUCCAAUUCAGGCUAGGUAAGGAGAAUCAAAGCUUUGAAAUUCUAGGGUUCUUGAUUUUGGGAUUUUCUGUUUUGGCUCGAUUCGCAUUUUUAGACUUAAAAUUGAUCUUCGGGCUAGUUAUGAAAGUUGUUUAAAAUGUUGAGACGAUGAUUGUGUUAAAUUUUGGUGAGCAUUGGAGGUGGCCGGAAUUCGGGCUGGCCGGCCGCCGUUGCCUGCGAAGCAGACGGCAGCGCUGCCUCUUUUGGGUUGUUUUUCAUGUUAUUUAAUUUGUUAUGAUGAGAGGAGUCCAAUGGUGUAAAGUUUAUAAUUUUUAAAGGAGUUUUGGUUAUGUUUGAGAUUUUUCAAAAUUGGUGAACUUAGCGGUUGAUAGGAUAGAAUCCGAUCAUUGGAUUAGUGUUAAUUAAACUUCAGAAAGUUGUUUUAAGGAUUUUGAUGCUUGUGGUGAAGUUUGAGUCUUAUUGGUCUACGGAUGGAGAAGUUGGGCAAGGGUGAAGGAUUUAUAGGCUCACUUUUAUUCUUGCACUUUUUUUUAAAGUAUCGAGUUAGUCUUGAGACAUAAUAAUAUCUAUUGUUCAAGACGUGAGGAGGAUCGUGUUGGGAGACCUCGGAUCGAUGGCAGACAUAGUCGUAUACUGUGAGUGGACAUUUCGGUUUUUAUUAAAUAUGUACGCAUGACUUUAUAAGUUAUCGUUAUUAUUUUUACCGAGCUUAUAUAUUAUAAUUUUGGCUUAUGACUUGGAUCAUAAAUUAUUUGAGAUCGUUAAUAAUUUAUGGAUUUGAGCUUGAGUUAUUAAUUUGGUAUUUGAGUUUUGUUAUUCUUUAUGAUUCCCGGAUUUAAUUAUUAUCGUCAUUAUUUGUUGACCUUGAGAUUUAUAAAAGAUUACCGAAGAUGAGAUUUCCGAUAGGUCUCAAUUUAUAAUUUCCUCGUUUAUUGUGGAUGUUCGAUUUUGACAUUGAGAAUAUUUUAGUGAGUAUUUCGGGUUGAGAAAUUCUUUAAUUUACGAUUUAUACUUGAUAAUUAAGUCUCGCUGAUAAAUAUAGAUUUGAGAAUAUUUUGACAUGCGAGACAUGUCAUUGAAUAUUAUUUUAAUUUCAUAUAAUAAUCUCCAAGUACGGUUGGGAAUCGUACCAUUUGCAUGAUUUUGGGGAAGCUUUAUGGAUUUAAGUGAUUUUGUAUGUUUUUAGUCACCAUACUAGGGUCACUCUUAUUCAUUACUAGCUAUCUUUUAUUAGCGGUCCUCACCAUAGGUGAGUCGAGUGCUUAACGUGGGAUGUUAUUGUAACCUGGGAGGCUCUGAUUGGUUUUAUUCAUUGUUAGCUAGCCAUUAUUAGCGAUUCUCACCAUAGGUGAGUUGAGCAUUUAGAGUGGGACGUUACUAUCUUAUUCAUUGUUAGCUAGCCUUUAUUAGCGGUCCUCACCAUAAGUGAGUCGAACCUUUAACAUGAGACGCUACUAGAGCCUAGGAGGCCCCAAUCGGUUUUUAUUCAUUGCUAGCUAACCAUUAUUAGCCGUCCUCACCAUUGGUGAGUCAAGCCCUUAGCGUAAGAUGCUAGUAGAGCCUGGGAGGCUCCGACCAGAGCCUGGGAGACUCCUCUUAUAUGGUGAUAUCUCUUUCCCUUGUGUAAUUUUUCUCAAGUUGUGUAUUUGAUUAAUCAACGGGGCUGGUUUGUCUAUUCUUAUGUGGUUGCGGACAAUAAGCCGAAUGUUUGAUCAAGGUUGCUUGCAUCAAAGAGGUUUUAAAGUUUAAACAUGGGAAAGUAUCUGAAUAAGAUUUUGUUAAAUUAUUUAAUUUUAUUUUUGUCCACUCACUCUAACUUCUUUUAAUUACUUUCCUCUGGGCCAUUCGGUUUCAGAUGCCCAGUUUGCAGGUUAGCUUAGAAGAGGUUAGGUGUACACGGAGUUCAGCUAUAGUCAAUAACAUAGCUUUCGCUGGCUUCCUUAUCUAUGUUUUCUUUUCUUAUUAGAAUUGCUCUGAUUACCUUUGAGAUUGUUGUGUUCUGGGUGUUGAUGCAGUGCUGGGAGCAGGGUGACUCUAGGAGUUGAGGGUGAUUUUUUUUUAUUAUAAAAGUGUAUGUUUGGAUUUGGCAUGUAGGGUUGUACAUUUUCAAAGGAGGUUAUGGACCCCGCAGGGUUUACUCCGGAUUUCAAGAGGAAAUUCAGGAUGGGUCCUGACACUUUCAAGUAAUUUAGUUCAAUUUUACUUAGUUUGUCGUUUUUCAGGUUCAAAGAGCAAGGAGAAGCAAUUGGAGCAGGAAGGAUUGAAAGCGACAUAGCAAUCCCGAAUUCUGGGCAGUGAGGCUAUGCAGAUCAGCCAACUUCGCCAAAUCACUGAGAGCAACUCAAAUCGAAUCAGAUGAUGAGCCUUAUAGCAUUACAAAGCUACAAAUGUCUUCUUUCUAUAGCAUUUUACGAAUCUCUAUUUUGAUACUUCUAGAGUCAGUUACGGUCAUUUGAAUGAAGAUAGGUCAUAUCAGGAAAUCUGCACGGGUUUGCAUACAUUCAUGGAGAACUCAAGUUCCAUGGCACAAGAUCUCCAAUCCUUAUGCUUCAAUGAAGUUAAUUCAGACGAGGAUGCAAAGAAUACAUGUAUUCCUAGUUCUACAAGAGAUAUUUCAAAUUCCAUAUCAAGAAAGGAGUCUGAUUUCAAGUCUUACAAGGAAACUUGAAGCCAAAGAUGAGCAGGAAAUCUCCCUUAUAUAAGGAGCACGAAUUUCACAAAGAAAGAGCUUCCAGGACGUGACAUACUUGGAGACAGCCAUCAUCACCUAUCUUUCAUCCAUUUUCCCUUUUAGUCUUUUUAUGUGUUUCAUUGUUUUCGUUAUGACUUUUAGUAGCUAAAUCUUUUGUUAGGGCCAUAAUGGAUCCUUAGCAUGACUAUUCGAUGUUUAUAGUUAGAUGAUUACUUUAUUAUUGGAUUGGUGUUGAGUUUUUAAUCUCUAUAAGAAUUGUUGCUUAUUUCAAAAUACUAGAGUCUCACGACCCUUAGGGUUUUGUUUUAAGCUAUUCAAUGCAAGAGUAGGUAGAUGCCAAUGCUGAAUCUUGAAUGCUUCUUGUGAUUAAAAACCAUAGAUUGAUAAGAUAGAUACCAUGUUUUAUUGGUUUAUGUGAGUCCUUUUGUUCUCAUUGAACUUCAUUGACCCUUAGAGAGUAUAUGUCAUACUUAUAAGAAUAGUUGAAUACUGUACUCUGCCAUAAGGUAGUAUUCAUGCUUUGGAGAACUCUCAUAUGAUGGAUUCUUCAACACCGGUUUAGUAGUUAGUAAUCGGUAGACUAGGAACUCGAAUAGGAUUGUGACGGUGAAGUUGGAAGCCCUAGCGUUUGUCCAUCGUUGUUUUCAAAACCCUUUCAAAACAUCUUCUCAAUCAAUUUGCUUGUUUUACUCUUUUCUCAUUGUUUACAAAAAUUACAAAAAUAUCUUCUUAUUUUCUUGUCAGUUGUUAGACUAAUUUGAUCAAUUAGUUAGAAUUGAAAGUUAGUUAUCCAUACCUAGUUGGAACGACCUCGUACUUGCAUAAGCUAUACUGUAAACGAUUCGUGCACUUAUGAAGUUAUUAAAAUUUGACAACAAGUUUUUGGCGUCGUAGCCAUAGUUUCUUUUUUAUUAGCCUUUUAGUUUCGUUUGUUUUUAGUCAUUGUUUUGUUUUAUGUGUAUUGAUUGAACAGUUAACUAUUCAAUUUUGAUUAAGCUAUUGUCCCCAGUGUUCAACAAGCAUUCUAAUUAUCUUCUGUUGAGCAGAUACUAGAGUAUUAUAUGUCAUUGGAAAGCUCUUCGAGUCUAGUUUCCAACUGGAGAAGCAUAUCAUGAAUCCGAUACUCAAGCAAAAAGUUAUUCACAGAAAAGUGGGCAGAGGUCAAAGCUAAGAAGUUCCUAGAAACCUGUUGUUCAAUCACUUGAAUUCAUAAUGGGUGAUCGUGCGUUGGUAAACAAUGAUCCACCAAAGAAGUUGUGCGAGUAUACUGCACCAACAACCUAUGAUGCACCUUUGUGUAUUGUUUUGGCACCUAUUGCGCAGCAAUUUGAGAUAUGCCCUACAACAAUCCAACUUCUACCUAUAUUCUAUAGGAAGGAGAAUGAGAAUCCCUAUAACCAUCUCAAAGGCUUCUUUGCUAUAUGUUCCACAUUCAAUUAUCAAGGAGUCACCAAGGAGCAGAUUCGACUUCGCUUGUUCCCGUUUUCUUUGAAAAAUAAAGCACAAAACUGGCUUAACUCUCUUAUGGAAGGCUCUAUCACCACCUGGGUGGAAUUGUCUAAAAAGUUUCUUAGCAAGUUCUAUCCGGCUCACAAGACGAAUGCAUUAAUCUCUGAGAUCAUGUCCUUAAUUUGCUCAACAUAUAUUGGACUUGUUCCCCUCCAUUUUAUGAGAAAUAAAGACUCGACCUUAAACCCUAAGGCCGAGUCCUGUUGUGCUUUAAAGAUUAUUGUGUUUUUGCACGGGUCUUUGGUUUCAUGUCCUCCCUGUUGUUUUCUCAUUUAUUGUUAAUUAUCACUUUGGUCACGCCUGAUUUUGGCAUGUGUUUUAUAUUUUAUAAUCUUGGCAAAAUCACUUCUUUGACGAACACACACCAUUUCAUUUAUCAAACGUACUGUGCAUUGAAACCAGUGGCCAAUAUUCAAACACUGGCCAUUUUUUUUCCAUGUUACACUAAUCAAUAUUCAAUCACAGACUUCUGUGUUUGAUACUUUUGAGUUAUUUAAAGAUAAAAUUAGAUAAAGAGUGCGGCUAUUGGGACCUCCAAAUUUGCUCAGUAUACCUCUCAUUCUCUCUACACCUCCCUUUUACUUUUCAAUAUAAACAUUUUCUCACUAGACCUCAUUUCAAAUUCCUAACAUAACCUUAGUUAUUUAUUGACAUAUAUUUCAAUUAAUUACCUACUUUAACUCUUAUUCACUCAAUAGACCUCUCAUUCAUUUUUUUUUUACCUUUUUGUUUUUGAACAUCCAUUAUCCCUACGGACCCUACCUUCAUUUUUUGAUUAUUUUUUUCAUGCAAGAAAACGUUUUAUCAUGAACUAUUCUAUAUAUCUUUUUAACUUUUGUUUUUCUCUUCUGUACGUGUUGUUUUUUUUUUUCUGUUUUUUUAUUUUGAAUAGUUUGAUCUAUAUUUUAUACCUCAUAAUAAAUUAUUUUAAUAAAUAUAUAUUUUCUAUAAUCAAUAGAGAUAUAUAUAUAUAUUUUUUUUNNNNNNNNNNNNNNNNNNNNUCACAUAAUCGAUAUUUGAUCAUUGUUUUAGCUCUUAUAAACUAUAUAUAUAUAUAUAUAUUUAUAUAUAUGCUUUAAUAAAAAGAAAUUAGAAAACAAAAAUAUAUAAGGAAAAUAAUAAAUAAUGUAAUCAAUUAUUAUUGAAUUGGAAAGUCUAAAGAGAAUAAAUAUAAUAUUUCCUUUUGUAUAAUUAUUGUCCUUAAUAGUCAUUGUGUAUGAGGAUAUAUAUGUCAUUUAAUAAUUCAUAAUAAAGUGAGGUCUAGUGAGCAAAUUUGGAGGUCCCAAUAGUCGCACUCUUAGAUAAAAACCUAAAAUACUAGACCUCUUUUAAGAUAAAUCCAGACAUAUUUUUCUUUCAUUUUACACUCACUCCACAUAAGCAAACUUACAAUAUAGAGCAAAUGUCUAUAAUUAAUAGUUUUAUUCAUUUUUCGGUUUAUCUGAUUUGUCUUUCAGACGGUAUAAAUCUAAAUUUGGUAUCUUUCUCAAUUUUAGCAUCAAUUUGAAACUCAAUACUGAGCUAAAAUUUAGUUGGAUUUAACUUUGUUAUAAUCAAUUAUAUUCUUUAAUUUCUUACCUUGUUAUUACUAACUUGAGUGUAUAUAUAUGCUAUUAUGUCAUUUGUAAUAGAAUGAUUUUUUUCAUUCAUAAGCUCACAUUUGGUGUCUCUCUACAUAGUUGAAAAAUGUAUAAUUGUAAGGUACACGUUCUUGUUCUUUGAUUAAUUUUCUUCUUUUUAGAUAUAUUAUUAUAUUAUUUCCAAUCCUGAUCGAGAGAACAUUUUACUCUCAACUACUUACAUUUUUAAUGUACCUAUUAAGUAGGACAUGAUAUGAUAAUAUACCUAAAAAGAAGAAACCCAAAAUUGGGUUUAGGGUAUAGGACUAAGGUAUAGGGUUAGGGUAUAGGGUUUAGGGUUUAAAGAUCAAAAUAGCUAAAAUGGUUUUUCAUCAUAGAAAUCCACAUGUCAGAAUUUGAAUGGAAUACACGUCAGAUUUCACAUGUUCAUACGCUAACAAUGUAAAAUUUAUUCAUUUUACUAUAAUAAUCAAAUAUCUUAUUUAUAUUAUAUUUUACCUUAUGUAUAGAUCAGGUAAUGAAUUCCUUUCACCUAAAUUUUUUCAUAAAAAAUAAAGAAAACUGCAUGAUUCUGGUAAAUUGAUUGAAAAAUUUUAGUGUUAGAAGAAAAACUCACAAUGAAGGUAUUUAAGACAACAUCAAUUAAGUUUAUUUAUUAUGUUUAUAUGUUAUAGUUGAAUGGUGGUAAUUGUGUAAAAUUUAGAAAAAAUAGGACAUAAUAUGUAUCAUAAUUGAUACAUUUUAGAUGUCUAUUAAAUAUGAAUAUUAGGUGGGUUUUAUUUAAAAUCACUCUUUAAAAUUGAGUGUAUAUGAAAAUCCCCCUUAUUUAAAUCUACUAUAUAUAGUUGAACCAAUAACAUGAUGAACAUACAAGUCUCAUAAAACAUACAAGAGUUUCAUGAUCUUAUUGCCUUCUACUUUUAGACUUUCUGCUGUGAAAUGGCUGAGACUAGACUACUAGAGUAAAAGAUUUGCUAGCACAAGCUUAUCGGUGGUCAUGGCAAACAGAAAGAAAACAUGCAAAAACAAGAAAGAACUUGACUAAGAGCACAUAUGAAGUUUAACAGCAUGGAGUUUCUGGAUGGAGGGAUCAAGGGAAGUAUGGUACCAGGAGAAGAUAAAGAGGAGCUUUCUUACACACCGUGCAAUGAAGCCUGAAAGAGGGUCAAUCCAUUUCAAAGAAGGGAAGAAAUCUCCGAAACUGAAUGACAUUAGUUCCACCAUGAACCUUCUUGAUGUCUUUCCAUACCAAUCACCAUCUUCUACGAACUUCAUACCCAAAUAGUUUCACAAACGAUACAAUAUCGAUAAGUUUUUGCUAAUAUUUUUGGGCUGAAAACUUAUGAAACGACCGAACUGGUUUGAGUAUCCUAUGAGAUUAUGGCAUCCGAACAAAACGUAGUAGUACACUAGUGUUACUGUGUUAGGCUGUUAGCGAAGGUUCAAGUAGUAGUAGUACUUACGAACGAGAUGGGAAGCACCCAAACAGACACUUUCUUCUACUGGGCUCAUCGAUCUGCCUUGGACUAACCAAUUCCGACGAUCGGUCAUUGAUCUUUCGCUAAAAUGAAAAUGUUCCAUGUCACACGUAUUCUUCUUUCAAUUCAUGACCUUCUGGGCGUCCUUAGCAGUUCCAUUGUGACGAAUACCUUCUGUUUUCUCCAUAUCCCUACCUAUCUCUCCAAGUUUGGGCCUUUCUGUUUUGUUUUGGGCUGUAUCCCUUGAGAUAUAUGCUUUUUUGGGCUAAGCCUUUCUUAAAGUUGAAACUUGAAACUAGGGCACCAACUUCUCCGUCACUAAAUGGAGCUGUCCACUCUGCUCUGGCCUUGUGGAAUAGUCAAUUGUACAGAUCAUGUACGUUCUGCUUUUCCUCCAAGUCUCCAGGUACUGCCUAUGUUCUCUGUUCCAUUCCCAUUGGCCAGGAGUCUCUGUUAGCAGGCAUUGUUAAAAUGGGCAGUAAGUGCACCACUUCGUGCAGUGAAUCGUGAUAAUUAAGUGAUUUUUGGAUCCCUUAGUUUGACUGAGCAAGAUCUUGUUAAAAUGGGCAGUAAGUGCACCACUUCGUGCAGUGAAUCGUGAUAAUUAAGUGAUUUUCGGAUCCCUUAGUUUGACCGAGCAAGAUCUUGUAUAAUCUUUCUGAUCAAAUUUUUUUUUAUCUAUUCCCUUGAAAAGAAAAAAAGAAAAAAGAAAAAGGGGGGGGUAUGUUAAUAAUAUAGAUGUGUAUAUCAAAUAGUGUUUUGGGGGCUUUGAACAGAAUGUUUUGGGAUUUCCACAAUCAUACUGGUUGAAAAAUGACAUAACAUCAAUUAAAAGCCAUUAUUUUCGAAACCAAUCAUGUGGUAACUAAAAUUUAUCAAGGACUCAUGGACUAAUAAUUACUACUUUAAUGA